rnacentral:RNase_P_RNA from 1 species
GAAGUCCGCCAGGCAGCCGCUGGACAAAACAUCGUCUGGAGGAAAGUCCGGGCCCCAUAGAGCAGGAUGCCGGCUAACGGCCGGGCACCGUGAGGUGACAGACAGUGCAACAGAAACAUACCGCCGAUGGCCACCCCGACUUUGCCGCCGCAAGGCGGCAAAGUCUCGCUCUUGAGUGAGCAGGGGCGGAUCAGGUAAGGGUGAAAUCGUGGCCUGUCGCAAGACAGGACAAAUCGCGCAGGCGAUUUGCGGUAAGAGCGCACGGUCGUACUGGUAACAGUUACGACGGGCAAACCUCAUCCGGGGCAAGGCCAAAUAGGGGAGCAUUGACGUUGCUCGCGUCGCUCCCGGGUAGGCUGCUAGAGAUUACCGGCGACGGUAGUCGACGAGGCCGUCAGCAAUGGCGGUCCCAGAGGAAUGGCUGCCCACGACAGAACCCGGCUUAUCGGCGGACUUCCACC